GAGCUAUAGCGCCCUGCCUGUUCUGGGCUUCUUGCAGAGCCUCUUCAGCUGCAGAGAAGCAGCUCUCCUUUCUCCAAGUCCAGAGCCAACAGGACGAAUAAUGAAGCUGUUGGGAAGAUUUACUGAUAAUACAUGUAAAGGGUCUAGCACAUUUUAGGAGCUCAAGGUUGGUGCCUUCCCUUUUUCUUUACUCUGAACCGGAUAUGAGGCCUUGAGAAAGAAGAGAGGCGCUUGCAAAACGAGGUGAGGUCUCAGGCACAGUGGCUCACGCCUGUAAUCCCAGCACUUUAGGAGACCGAGGCGGGCGGAUCAUGAGGUCAGGAGUUCGAGACCAGCCUGGCCAACAUGGUGAAAGCCCGUCUCUACUAAAAAUACAAAAAUUAGACGGGCAUGGUGGUGGGCACCUGUAAUCCCGGCUACUUGGGAGGUUGAGGGAGGAGAAUCGCUUGAACCCAGGAGGUGGAGGUUGCAGUGAGCCGAGACUGCACCAUUGCACUCCAGCCUGGGCAAUAGAGCGAGACUCCGUCUCAAGCAAGCAAGCAAGCAAACAAACAAAAUAAAAAACGAGGUCAAGUUUCAAAAGAUGUCACCCCCAACCUGGCAAAACUUCUCCUCAAGCCCUGUCGUUCCACUCUUGUCCGCCAGGAGGAGAAAAGGUUCCCUCGAAGGACGUCUUUGCUUGCGCGUUCACGGAGCCUUGAGAACGAGUGGCCGAGGGGACCCCUGCGGCCCUGCGCGCCUAAGGGAGGACCUGACUCCUUUCAGAAUUAGCAUUUCUUCCCCUUCGUGGGUGCUCUUGAGUUCCAAAGAAAAGGAAGAGAAGCCUUCAUUGAGCAGCUUCUUCUGCCUUAGGGACUGUGCUAGGGGGUAGAUCGACCUUAGGGGAAACAAUCCCCGCUUAUUAGAGGAGGUUUUGGAUCAGGGUUUGCUUUAUUUGAAAUUUAACAAAUACAGAAAAGCAGAAGGAAGAAAAUUGAAGUAAUCCAUGUUUCCACUGGGCGCGG
rnacentral:lncRNA from 1 species